AGUGAACGCUGGCGGUAGGCCUAACACAUGCAAGUCGAACGGCAGCACAGUAAGAGCUUGCUCUUACGGGUGGCGAGUGGCGGACGGGUGAGGAAUACAUCGGAAUCUACUUUUUCGUGGGGGAUAUCGUAGGGAAACUUACGCUAAUACCGCAUACGACCUACGGGUGAAAGCAGGGGAUCUUCGGACCUUGCGCGAUUGAAUGAGCCGAUGUCGGAUUAGCUAGUUGGCGGGGUAACGGCCCACCAAGGCGACGAUCCGUAGCUGGUCUGAGAGGAUGAUCAGCCACACUGGAACUGAGACACGGUCCAGACUCCUACGGGAGGCAGCAGUAGGGAAUAUUGCACAAUGGGCGCAAGCCUGAUCCAGCCACACCGCGUGAGUGAAGAAGGUCUUCGGAUUGUAAAGCCCUUUUGUUGGGGAAGAACAGCAGCAUAUUAAUCCCCCGCUGUUCUGACGGUACCCAAAGAAUAAGCACCGGCUAACUACGUG
rnacentral:rRNA from 1 species